CAUAAGAUCGGGAAUGAGAUGGGAAAGGCGGAGUGCGUGAAUCAGGAGCUCCCUGAACCUGAGGGAACAGUGGAAAAUAGGCUGCUAUCCAGAAUAGGCAAAGAUUUAGAGACUGCUCCCUAAUCUCGGUUCAAGUGCCUUACACGUGCCAGCAAAGACAUUUAAAGGGCAUUAUUCCCACCCCUGCACUGGGGUUGGAGGAAAGGCUAGGACUUUUGGGAAGUCCAGUCUCACCUUCCCAGAACUGCGGAUGUUGGGGACAGCAGCGGGACUGUCACGCCCUUUAGGAGGCUUGAUCUAGCUCUGGGAUGCUUCUCCCACAGACUUCAGGUCAUCUGGGCCGGGAAGGUAGCACCUUCAGAAGAAAACAGGGUUUUAAUAGUUUUUGUAACUGUGAGAAAAGAAGCCUAUUUCCCUCCACCUGCACCUUUUCCUCUCUAGCACGAGGAAGAAAAAAACUGCAUUUGUUAGAAUUUCCUUCUGGCAGAGAAAUGUGAUCUUCAGAGAAAAAUCUUUAAUGAGUCCCUUUGGAGAAGGCGAGCUCUCAAAAGACCUGCCAGUAGGGUCUUGUGCCUCCUGACCUAAAGGGCUGCUGUGAGCCUGAGACCUUAAGGCUUGUAAAGCACUACAAUGCUUCCCUGGCCUGGGGGGAGUAUCGUAUCAUGAUGUUUUAUUAUUAUCUUUUCUGGGAUCUUGUUCUGGAUGAAUCUCACAACAAACACUUUUUUUUCUGCCACAGCUGCCUUCGCGCCUUGUUAAAACCGAGGACCACAUUUGCUGAUGUCCAGACUUUUCAGACCUUUUCUCUCUUUCUUUCCCUAGAAGACCCACCCGGCUUCUUGCAGGUAAAACCAUCACUUUCAAGAACAGAGGAAUGCCAGCGGGAUGGGCGUGUGGCCGUUAUGAUGUCACCCAUCUUCGGAGACAAGACCUUGCCGAGCCGUCGCCCCCUGCUGGCCAUUAUGACAACCCGCGAUGACACCCCAGACCAGUCUCGGGUGAAAGCCUGA
rnacentral:lncRNA from 1 species